rnacentral:rRNA from 1 species
UAGGGAAUCUUCCACAAUGGACGAAAGUCUGAUGGAGCAACGCCGCGUGUGUGAUGAAGGGUUUCGGCUCGUAAAACACUGUUGUAAGAGAAGAAUGACAUUGAGAGUAACUGUUCAAUGUGUGACGGUAUCUUACCAGAAAGGAACGGCUAAAUACGUGCUAG